AACCACCGCCGAGUCAAGAUUCAGCGAUUCCACAGCAAUCGCCCUAAUGACAACAGCCUCAUAAUAUCUCCCCUAAAUCCACAGUGAGUGCAGCAUUGAAACAUUUUGUUUCGCUUUUCUAUUGGUCUACGGCGUGUCGUUGUGGCGUUGCCACGGCAACCGCUGCCAAUCACUGUCAGCCCUGCCAAUCAAUACCGAGAACGUAAGGACGGUUUUACCACUUAGCCAGAGUUGGGGGGGGGGGGAGGGGGAGAGGAGGGAAAGAGGGAGAAGGGGGAGAAAGAGAUUUUUUUUUAAUCUUUGCAACUCUUAAUCUCGCCACUUCUCCCUCUCUCUCUCUCUCUCUCUCUCAGCUCCCUUCUUUCCUCUUCCCCAAAGAAGUUGAUCCAGAAAUUCAAAAUGCCGUGGGCAUAGAGUUGUUGAAUGGGAUGAGCAAUUAAAGGGAUUUUUGUCGGGAAGUGAGAGACUCCCCAUGCCGCCUGAAGGCCGAAGGCCAGCCCUCAAGUAGAGCCCGAGGGCCGGCCGAGCAGGCACGGUUUGCACACGGUGUGCACGUCGGGCUGUCUCUUUCUGCCUAUGUGAGCACUAAUACUGGUGAGGAAGAAAGAAGAGAUGAGAUCAUGGGGCCCACCGCACGCUGACCCUAGCUGCUGCGGCGGGGUUCCCGGAUUUCGGGGGGCACCUGGCGCCCGAGAGGCUGAGCUCAGGCCCCAGGGUGUUGGAAGCCGCUCUGGCCUCCCCCGUCCUGGUUCAUCGGCCACGUUUACCUCGAUUUCAUCUGCAUUGGAUUCCACCCGCUUCUCUUUCCUCAGCUCCGGGUCAAGGAGCCUUGAUUUCCCUUAUUGCCCUGUAUUUUAAAAUACCAGCAUAAAUAACACUACACUUCUUUUUAUCUUGAAAGGCAAGCCACGUCUUUGUUUCCCCCUAGACUUCAGCUGUGUCCCCUGGGAGCUGAGAAGUCUGGAACCCUCUGGAGCUCCCUGAAAUGCCUGCUACCUCUACUCCUCCAAGGAGCUCUGGACUUGCCUACCAGCCCCAGAAGGACAGUCAAACUUUGGAGGCUUUCCCAAAGAAGCGGAUAGGCCUGAACAUUGCAUGUUUGCUCAUAUUGUAAAGGAAAAAAAAAUAAUACAACUAAUUCACCUAAGCAAAGUAACAUUACAAGCCUAAAACAGACCCCAAAAAGCCCAUAGGAUACAGAGAGCCCUUCCUCCCUCUGGCCACGGCAACCCCCCCUCCCCCACUCCCAGGGGCCGGUAGGGGUAUUUAUUCUAAGGUAUGUUGCUUUUAAGAAGAUGUAAUCAGCAUCUUUAGUGGGGUCUCCCUUUGUGAGGCCUCUGUAACUAUGGAAGUGUGAUUUACGCAGAUUUGUCGGGGUCAGAGACGUCUUUCCCCUGAGCACUGUGUAUAUUUAGACAGGACUCGGUUUGGUGUUAAAAAGUGUAUAUUUUGAAUGAGUUCACACACAGUAGCCAACAAUGCCCACAUUGUCGGCCCGUGUACAACGCGUAUUGAAACGCAGCGUCCAGACUUCAACUAAUCUGCCCUCAAUAAAGCUGAAAUAAUUAUCCUAA
rnacentral:lncRNA from 1 species